AGCCGCGGUAAUACCGGCGGCUCGAGUGGUGGCCACUAUUACUGGGCUUAAAGCGUUCGUAGCUGGGUUGUUAAGUCUCUUGGGAAAUCUACCGGCUUAACCGAUAGGCGUCCAAGGGAUACUGGCAAUCUAGGGACCGGGAGAGGUGAGGGGUACUUCAGGGGUAGGAGUGAAAUCCUGUAAUCCUUGGGGGACCACCUGUGGCGAAGGCGCCUCACCAGAACGGCUCCGACAGUGAGGGACGAAAGCUGGGGGAGCAAACCGGAUUAGAUACCCGGGUAGUCCCAGCCGUAAACGAUGCGCGUUAGGUGUAUCGAUGACCACGAGUCAUCGAGGUGCCGAAGGGAAACCGUGAAACGCGCCGCCUGGGAAGUACGGUCGCAAGGCUGAAACUUAAAGGAAUUGGCGGGGGAGCACCACAACAGGUGGAGCCUGCGGUUUAAUCGGACUCAACGCCGGAAAUCUCACCGGAUAAGACAGCUGAAUGAUAGUCGGGCUGAAGACUCUACUUGACUAGCU
rnacentral:rRNA from 1 species